rnacentral:tRNA from 1 species
GCCCCGAUAUCCCAACCGGCAGAGGAAGCGGUCUUAAAAACCGCGCAGUCUGGGUUCGAAUCCCAGUCGGGGCA